AUUGAACGCUGGCGGAAUGCUUUACACAUGCAAGUCGAGCGGCAGCGCGGGGCAACCUGGCGGCGAGCGGCGAACGGGUGAGUAAUACAUCGGAACGUGCCCAGACGUGGGGGAUAACUACUCGAAAGAGUGGCUAAUACCGCAUACGAUCUAAGGAUGAAAGCGGGGGAUCGCAAGACCUCGCGCGUUUGGAGCGGCCGAUGGCAGAUUAGGUAGUUGGUGGGGUAAAGGCUUACCAAGCCCGCGAUCUGUAGCUGGUCUGAGAGGAUGAUCAGCCACACUGGGACUGAGACACGGCCCAGACUCCUACGGGAGGCAGCAGUGGGGAAUUUUGGACAAUGGGCGAAAGCCUGAUCCAGCCAUUCCGCGUGCAGGAUGAAGGCCCUCGGGUUGUAAACUGCUUUGUACAGAACGAAAAGACUCUUUCUAAUACAGAGAGUCCAUGACGGUACUGUAAGAAUAAGCACCGGCUAACUACGUGCCAGCAGCCG
rnacentral:rRNA from 1 species